GGGUUGUGAGGUUAAGCGACUAAGCGUACACGGUGGAUGCCCUGGCAGUCAGAGGCGAUGAAGGACGUGCUAAUCUGCGAAAAGCGUCGGUAAGGUGAUAUGAACCGUUAUAACCGGCGAUGUCCGAAUGGGGAAACCCAGUGCAAUUCGUUGCACUAUCGUUAACUGAAUACAUAGGUUAACGAGGCGAACCGGGGGAACUGAAACAUCUAAGUACCCCGAGGAAAAGAAAUCAACCGAGAUUCCCCCAGUAGCGGCGAGCGAACGGGGAGCAGCCCAGAGUCUGAAUCAGCUUGUGUGUUAGUGGAACGGUCUGGAAAGUCCGACGGUACAGGGUGAUAGUCCCGUACACCAAAAUGCACAGGUUGUGAACUCGAAGAGUAGGGCGGGACACGUGGUAUCCUGUCUGAAUAUGGGGGGACCAUCCUCCAAGGCUAAAUACUCCUGACUGACCGAUAGUGAACCAGUACCGUGAGGGAAAGGCGAAAAGAACCCCGGCGAGGGGAGUGAAAAAGAACCUGAAACCGUGUACGUACAAGCAGUGGGAGCACCUUCGGGUGUGACUGCGUACCUUUUGUAUAAUGGGUCAGCGACUUAUAUUCUGUAGCAAGGUUAACCGUAUAGGGGAGCCGCAGGGAAACCGAGUCUUAACUGGGCGUUAAGUUGCAGGGUAUAGACCCGAAACCCGGUGAUCUAGCCAUGGGCAGGUUGAAGGUUGGGUAACACUAACUGGAGGACCGAACCGACUAAUGUUGAAAAAUUAGCGGAUGACUUGUGGCUGGGGUGAAAGGCCAAUCAAACCGGGAGAUAGCUGGUUCUCCCCGAAAGCUAUUUAGGUAGCGCCUCGUGAACUCAUCUUCGGGGUAGAGCACUGUUUCGGCUAGGGGGUCAUCCCGACUUACCAACCCGAUGCAAACUACGAAUACCGAAGAAUGUUAUCACGGGAGACACACGGCGGGUGCUAACGUCCGUCGUGAAGAGGGAAACAACCCAGACCGCCAGCUAAGGUCCCAAAGUCAUGGUUAAGUGGGAAACGAUGUGGGAAGGCACAGACAGCCAGGAUGUUGGCUUAGAAGCAGCCAUCAUUUAAAGAAAGCGUAAUAGCUCACUGGUCGAGUCGGCCUGCGCGGAAGAUGUAACGGGGCUAAACCAUGCACCGAAGCUGCGGCAGCGACACUAUGUGUUGUUGGGUAGGGGAGCGUUCUGUAAGCCUGCGAAGGUGUGCUGUGAGGCAUGCUGGAGGUAUCAGAAGUGCGAAUGCUGACAUAAGUAACGAUAAAGCGGGUGAAAAGCCCGCUCGCCGGAAGACCAAGGGUUCCUGUCCAACGUUAAUCGGGGCAGGGUGAGUCGACCCCUAAGGCGAGGCCGAAAGGCGUAGUCGAUGGGAAACAGGUUAAUAUUCCUGUACUUGGUGUUACUGCGAAGGGGGGACGGAGAAGGCUAUGUUAGCCGGGCGACGGUUGUCCCGGUUUAAGCAUGUAGGCUGGUUAUCCAGGCAAAUCCGGAUAAUCAAGGCUGAGGUGUGAUGACGAGGCACUACGGUGCUGAAGUAACAAAUGCCCUGCUUCCAGGAAAAGCCUCUAAGCAUCAGGUAACAUCAAAUCGUACCCCAAACCGACACAGGUGGUCAGGUAGAGAAUACCAAGGCGCUUGAGAGAACUCGGGUGAAGGAACUAGGCAAAAUGGUGCCGUAACUUCGGGAGAAGGCACGCUGGUGUGUAGGUGAAGUCCCUGCGGAUGGAGCUGAGACCAGUCGAAGAUACCAGCUGGCUGCAACUGUUUAUUAAAAACACAGCACUGUGCAAACACGAAAGUGGACGUAUACGGUGUGACGCCUGCCCGGUGCCGGAAGGUUAAUUGAUGGGGUUAUCCGUAAGGAGAAGCUCUUGAUCGAAGCCCCGGUAAACGGCGGCCGUAACUAUAACGGUCCUAAGGUAGCGAAAUUCCUUGUCGGGUAAGUUCCGACCUGCACGAAUGGCGUAACGAUGGCGGCGCUGUCUCCACCCGAGACUCAGUGAAAUUGAACUCGCUGUGAAGAUGCAGUGUACCCGCGGCAAGACGGAAAGACCCCGUGAACCUUUACUAUAGCUUGACACUGAACAUUGAGCCUUGAUGUGUAGGAUAGGUGGGAGGCUUUGAAGCGUGGACGCCAGUCUGCGUGGAGCCAACCUUGAAAUACCACCCUUUAAUGUUUGAUGUUCUAACGUUGGCCCCUGACCGGGGUUGCGGACAGUGUCUGGUGGGUAGUUUGACUGGGGCGGUCUCCUCCCAAAGCGUAACGGAGGAGCACGAAGGUUAGCUAAUCCUGGUCGGACAUCAGGAGGUUAGUGCAAUGGCAUAAGCUAGCUUGACUGCGAGCGUGACGGCGCGAGCAGGUGCGAAAGCAGGUCAUAGUGAUCCGGUGGUUCUGAAUGGAAGGGCCAUCGCUCAACGGAUAAAAGGUACUCCGGGGAUAACAGGCUGAUACCGCCCAAGAGUUCAUAUCGACGGCGGUGUUUGGCACCUCGAUGUCGGCUCAUCACAUCCUGGGGCUGAAGUAGGUCCCAAGGGUAUGGCUGUUCGCCAUUUAAAGUGGUACGCGAGCUGGGUUUAGAACGUCGUGAGACAGUUCGGUCCCUAUCUGCCGUGGGCGCUGGAGAAUUGAGGGGGGCUGCUCCUAGUACGAGAGGACCGGAGUGGACGCAUCACUGGUGUUCGGGUUGUCAUGCCAAUGGCACUGCCCGGUAGCUAAAUGCGGAAGAGAUAAGUGCUGAAAGCAUCUAAGCACGAAACUUGCCCCGAGAUGAGUUCUCCCUGAGACUAUAAGUCUCCUGAAGGAACGUUAAAGACGAUGACGUUGAUAGGCCGGGUGUGUAAGCGCAGCGAUGCGUUGAGCUAACCGGUACUAAUGAACCGUGAGGCUUAACCUUACAACGCCGAAG
rnacentral:rRNA from 1 species